GCCUGUUCUUCUCGUUCCACCCUCCUUUGCCCCCUUAAUAGCAGCUCCCCUAUUCUGAGCCCUCCAGAAUUCAGCAGCCCUUGGUGUCCAUCAGGUUAGAGGCAGCCUGACACUCCCGUUCUCAGUGAGCAGCUACUAGCAAUCCUUUCCACGUUAGUCACAUUGCUUUGGUCCCCUUGGUGAAUUGGGUAGGGCUCCUACUGUGCGGUGUGCUUUACAGGGAAGGGAUCUGCCCAGUGGUGGCUGGGUGGAGGGAGCUGGCCUGGGUUUAUUGGUGAUCCCACGGCCAUUGUCUGGCAAGUGGGAGGGACUCUAAAUGGUUAUUAGCUGGGGACAACCUAGAAUGUGGAAGGUCACAUGGUAAGGAAACACCAGUGAACUAUGCAUAGGGCCACAGGCUCUUUGAGUUUUUAAAAUGCUCUUAUCUAAAAUGGACAUACAAGAGUUCCCGCUGUGGUACCGUGGGUUAAGGAUCAGAUUGCAGUGGCUCGGGUUGCUGCAGAGGUUCAGAUUUGAGCCCUGGCCCAGGAACUUUCAUGUGCCGCAGGUGAGGGCAUAAAAUCUUUAAAAAUUUAAAAAAUUAAAUGAAAUGUAAAUAUAAUAAUAUUUCAUAAUAAUCUCUAAAGGAAGAGAAUCUGAAGCAUGUAUAUGUAUGUAUAUACAUAUAUAUCUGAAUUACUGUGCUGUGUACUGAAACUAACAUGAUAUUGUAAAUCAACUAUAUUUCAAUUAAAAAUGGAAAAAAAAGGAAAUAUAAUACCACAUAGGGUUGUGUGGGUUAGAUGACAUACUAUGGAUUCACAUGUUUGGUAAAUUUGAAUGUGUUCUAUAAAUGUGAGAAAUUAAUAGAUGUGGUAUUAAUUAUAAUGAUUAGAGGAAGAGCAGAGGGAAGAAAUGUACUUGAAAGGAAGACUCUAGGGAGAUCAGAUGCUCGAUUCAUAAAUUAACGUGUGAUGAUGGAAUUUGAAGGCCUGGAUCAGAGAUGAUUCAGUAGGAACCUUCAGUACAUCCCACACGUAACACCAGGUAGGCAGCAGCCUCAUGUGUUCCUGAGCCCCUUUCUCUAGUUUUGUUUCUCCCUUGCCUAUGACUUCAUAUUAUUUUACCUCUUCAGACUCCAAAUAUCAAGAGUAAACUGCUGUGCAAUAAGUUGAGAGACCAGAAGGCAUCUUUAAUCAUUUACCUCUCUCCUCUUUGUCUCAUUUCCCCCUUGUGCAAAAUAUCGUGCCAUCUGACUUUUUUCUUUCCACCUGUGAAUAUCAAGAAAUAAAGCAAGAUGUUGUUUGCA
rnacentral:lncRNA from 1 species